rnacentral:lncRNA from 1 species
CUUCCGCAUAGAUACAACCUAUCCGCUAUCCCCACGUGGCUUGCUAGGAUUGACCAGCGCUAGCUAUUUAAGUGUGGUGCGGGGGUUCCCCGGGGUCAGAAGAUUGUAUCAAGGUUCCUGAGUAAAACUGCUUGAAGAAGAUCUUCGCUGGUCGCUGGUCCUGUCUUCCUUGCUGGUCGAGGUUGGGCGCGACAGGGAACCAAGGGUUUCGAAGCAGAUGGCCUGGCCCCUGAGGAUCUGCUGGCAGUGCCAUGUCUAUGACAUAUGAACUAGUUCACGAAGUGAGUUUUACAUCGAGCUCUGCAUUCAACAGGUAAGUGUAAUAUCUUCCCCGUUUAGCCCAUGGAGGUCUAUCUGGGAUAUACACUAGUGACUGGGAAAGGACU